rnacentral:rRNA from 1 species
GACGAACGCUGGCGGCGCGCUUAACACAUGCAAGUCGAACGGAAAGGCCUGCUUUCCCUUGUGGAUUGCGGGUACUCGAGUGGCGAACGGGUGAGUAACACGUGAGUGAUCUGCCCCCAACUUGGGUAUAAGCCUGGGAAACUGGGUCUAAUUCCCGAUAGGACUGCAGGGUGGUGCCUGUGGUGGAAAACGAUUUUCUAGUGGUUGGGGAUGAGCUCGCGGCCUAUCAGCUUGUUGGUGGGGUAAUGGCCUACCAAGGCGGCGAUGGGUAGCCGGCCUGAGAGGGUGGACGGCCACAUUGGGACUGAGAUACGGCCCAGACUCCUACGGGAGGCAGCAGUGGGGAAUAUUGCACAAUGGGCGGAAGCCUGAUGCAGCGACGCCGCGUGGGGGAUGACGGCCUUCGGGUUGUAAACUCCUUUCGACCGCGAGGAAGCCACCUGGUUGGAAGGGUGGUGACGGUAGUGGUAGAAGAAGCACCGGCUAACUACGUG